GGCAAGGGAAGCAGCUCAGGACUUUAGACAACGCAGCAGGUUUUAGACAACGAGGCAGUUUCUCUUAAGGUUUUCCAGUUAGUAAGCAAUAGGCGAGGAGCAGAAGGAGAAAGAGGCAGUUACUAACAAAACUAGGGUAAGUUUUAAAAAUAGGGAGGAUGGCUGACAACGUGCUGACAAAAUCCCGGGCAAAAUUUCCACUUCAGUCUCACUCAAUCACCCGAGCUGGGAGCAAGUCCUCUUCUCCGGCUGGCAGCUUGCAUCUCCCAUUAGUCCCUAGAUUCUGACUAUUCAUGCUUCUUCUGGGGCCCAUUCUCUGUUCUGGAAGUUUUCUUGGGCAAGAUUCAUUUUAAGAUGAUACUGGUUCCUAUUAGGUGUGUAGGAAAUACGCACUCUUGCAGCCUGUUCCUGAGAUAACUUCUUUACUCACAGGUCCUGCCUGGGAACUCUGGCAUCUCAGUUUAGGAUGAAGAGACUUUUGACACCUCUCUUGAUAAUACUCACAAACAGAAGCCUAAAGCUGUUUUCACAGACUCCCUGGUUCCUUUUCCACUGUGGCUUUCCCCAGGGAGGGGAAUUUUCACUCCUCUCAGAAGACUCCAAAGGCCGAAACCUAUUGUGUGGCAAAUAUGCCAACACUGCUUAAAUCUCGGAGUAAAAUUACAAGAAAAAAAGAGGAAACACCCUAAGCCUAAACCACAUGCUUGAGGUUUCAUUUUAAAAUAGGCAGAUCCUAUUCUAACUUUUCUCCAAGUCACAUGCAAUAUUUUUCUAGAAGUACAUUUUGCUUUCUACUUUUCAGGUUGGAGGUUGUUUUUUUCCAUCUGGCUUUUCCGCUUUCAACCUUGUUACAAAACUGAAGUCAACAUUUUCACAGCUUGUCAAUGGAAACCUGAUUAUGCCUCCUCAUCUCAAGAAGAAAA